UGGUCUCGAGCUAAAAGGACUUGUUCCAUAUGAUUUUGGGUGCUAAAGAAAGCUAGAAAUAACAUAUAUAUCAUCUAAGAAGACUGCAAUGAAUAGGCUUAGUUAAUUUACGUAGGGAAAUGCUGGUGUUAUUUGCAUAUCAAUAUUUCCUGACCAUCUUCAUUGGGAUAGUUGAGGUGGCUUUUCUUGUCAAGAACAAUCUUGCUUUCAAGCAUCUAGUUCUCACAAUGGAAGAAGCGUUGGUUAACUUUCUCCAAGAUGAUGACACAAGGAUGUGAUUUGGUUAAUACUCUCAUAGAGAUAUGGCUUUGGCAGCUAUGAAUGGACUUAAUGGAACCUAUACAAUGAGAGUAAG